rnacentral:rRNA from 1 species
CCUACGGGUGGCAGCAGUGGGGAAUAUUGGGCAAUGGGCGCAAGCCUGACCCAGCAACGCCGCGUGAAGGAAGAAGGCUCCCGGGUUGUAAACUUCUUUUCUGAGGGACGAAGAAAGUGACGGUACCUCCUGAAUAAGCCACGGCUAACUACGUGCCGGCAGUCGCGGUAAUACGUCGGUGGCAAGCGUUCUCCGGAUUUAUUGGGUGUAAAGGGCGUGUAGGCGGGAAAGCAAGUCAGAUGUGAAAACUCAGGGCUCAACCCUGAGCCUGCAUUUGAAACUGUUUUUCUUGAGUGCUGGAGAGGCAAUCGGAAUGCCGUGUGUAGCGGUGAAAUGCGUAGAUAUACGGAGGAACACCAGUGGCGAAGGCGGAUUGCUGGACAGUAACUGACGCUGAGGCGCGAAAGCGUGGGGAGCAAACAGGAUUAGAUACCCGAGUAGUC